GGGGAGGAGCCUGCCACCCACACACGUCAUUCCCUACAGUCUUGGAAAAUGAUGCAAGAAACCCAGUCCUUGUGUACUUAGAAAGCAUUAGAGAUUUUAUUCUGGGAAAACAAUGAGCUCAACUCUGCUGUGUUUUGAUGGAGUGGGGCCCUUUAAAAGGCAAAGGCAACCAGGCCGGGAUUUGAAGAGUGUCCUGCCUUUAAGUGACACCAGGUCACUCUGAUCCUCCAGCCAAUAGCACACUGGACAGCCGAAUCACAAGUGACUCACUGUCCUCCUGCCUCAAACACAGCCUGCUUAGCAUACAAAGCCCAUUUUAUGAGGGAAAGCUGCACUGCAGGCCAGGAGGUUGCUCUGGCUGUUCCCUGUUGCUUUCAGUGCCGGCUUGAGGCCGAGGCAAGUGGAGCUGGUGGCCUGGGAAGAACCGUUCUGAGCCUCAGUGUUGGCUCUGAUGUGGAACUGCAGGAGGUGAUUAUACUGGAGUUUCAGGGGGAGCAGCCCUGGAGUGUCCUUGGGAUACAGAAGCGAUUCUUGGCAAGGAAGUGCUUGCUGCCUGUCACUCCCGAUGACUGUGAGGAGUUGAACACCUUGACGGUAUGACUCACAGGAGCAGAGCGAAGUGGCUGCAAUAGGAGCGUGAAGGUGCUAGAACUAGAGUCGGAGCCUGGGUUUGAAUCCUAGCUCUGCCGUUUAUCAGCGGAGCAUUAACAGUGUUAUCCUUAGACCUCGGCUGCAGAAGGUUGAGUUACUCACCUGCUCCAGACAAGGCAAAACCGCCACCGGCCUGUAGGUCCCACCCCGGAUCGUGCUGUGGUUCCUUCCCUAGGACUGAUCUUCAUCAAGACCCUGAUCCCCUGGGUAACCUGUUUGCCACCGUCUGCCCACCACCCUCCACCUUUCCCAUGACCCUUCCCUAGUACCCCAGCCAUCGAGCCUGAAAUGCGUAUCCCCUUUCCUGGGUUCCCCACCCCACUCUGUGGCCCAUCACUGCAAUGACUCCCUUGCCUACGGCUCAGCUCCCUUCUUGCUUCAGAACAUUUGCUUGGCAAAUUCCAGCCCUAGUUAAAUCCCUCUCCAUCUCCUCCCCCCCUGCACUUGGAGUGACUGGAAGCAAAAAUCACUGCACCCAACUCACUGACCUUGUCCGUUCACCCCCAGGGGUGAUCAGUGCUGCCCGGCGAGCCUGUCGCUCGGGCCCCUACUCUCCCCUGUGCCCUGGCUGAUGGAUUCA
rnacentral:lncRNA from 1 species